rnacentral:rRNA from 1 species
GACGAACGCUGGCGGCGUGCUUAACACAUGCAAGUCGAACGGAAAGGCCCUGCUUUUGUGGGGUGCUCGAGUGGCGAACGGGUGAGUAACACGUGAGUAACCUGCCCUUGACUUUGGGAUAACUUCAGGAAACUGGGGCUAAUACCGGAUAGGAGCUCCUGCUGCAUGGUGGGGGUUGGAAAGUUUCGGCGGUUGGGGAUGGACUCGCGGCUUAUCAGCUUGUUGGUUGGGUAGUGGCUUACCAAGGCUUUGACGGGUAGCCGGCCUGAGAGGGUGACCGGCCACAUUAGGACUGAGAUACGGCCCAGACUCCUACGGGAGGCAGCAGUGGGGAAGAUUGCACAAUGGGCGGAAGCAUGAUGCGGCACCGCCGCGUGCGGGAUGACGGCCUUCGGGUUGUAAACCGCUUUCGCCUGUGCCGAAGCGUGAGUGACGGUAAUGGGUAAAGAAGCACCGGCUAACUACGUG